AAAAGUAUAGGGUUCUGCUAUCACUCUUGGAUGGACCUGCGGUGCAUUAGCUAGUUGGUAGGGUAAACGGGCCUACCCAAGGCGAUGAUGCAUAGCCGAGUUGAGAGACUGAUCGGCCACAUUGGGACUGAGACACGGCCCAAACUCCUACGGGAGGCAGCAGUAGGGAAUCUUCCACAAUGGACGCAAGUCUGAUGGAGCAACGCCGCGUGAGUGAAGAAGGGUUUCGGCUCGUAAAGCUCUGUUGUUGGUGAAGAAGGACAGGGGUAGUAACUAACCUUUGUUUGACGGUAAUCAAUUAGAAAGUCACGGCUAACUACGUGCCAGCAGCCGCGGUAU
rnacentral:rRNA from 1 species